rnacentral:rRNA from 1 species
GACGAACGCUGGCGGCGUGCUUAACACAUGCAAGUCGAACGGAAAGGCCUCUUUCGGGGGGUACUCGAGUGGCGAACGGGUGGGUAACACGUGAGUAACCUGCCCUUGACUUUGGGAUAACUUCAGGAAACUGGGGCUAAUACCGGACAGGAGAUCCUGCUGCCUGGUGGGGGUUGGAAAGUUUCGGCGGUUGGGGAUGGAUUCGCGGGUUAUCAGCUUGUUGGUGGGGUAGUGGCUUACCAAGGCCUUGGCGGGUAGCCGGACUGAGGGGGUGAGCGGCCACAUUGGGACUGAGAUGCGGCCCAGGCACCGACGGGAGGGAGCAGUGGGGAAGAUUGCACAAGGGGUGGAGGCCGGAUGCAGCAGCGCCGCGUGCGGGAUGACGGCCUUCGGGUUGUAAACCGCUUUCGCUCAUGACGACGCUUUGUGUGACGGUAGUGGGUAAAGAAGCACCGGCUAACUACGUG